UGAGAUUCUCCGUGACGCCGCGGCCGGCGUCCCGUAUUGACGUCAUUUCACUGAACGGGUGCGGUGGACGCUGGGUACCACGGACGGUCUGGCGGGUAUAAAGGGCUCCCAGCGCGUUGCCAGGGGAACCAGUCAGCGUGAUUACGUCACUUCCGGCCGGGCUGUGAGCCGCGACCGGAAGUGCGGGAUGUGCGACGCCUGGGCACUCCGUGGUCCACGCAGCUGGGAGUCGUGAUUAUGGGGAUGUCUCCGGCUGCCGCAGAGGGAUCAUUUAUGAAGGCAAUAGACAAUAAGCCAGGUGCCAGGACUGCGCACAUCUGUCCCCCAUGAGGCUGGCACUCUGCGCCAGAGAACGCAGAACAAAGGACAGGAGAGAGACCUCACAUGUUGUACUCACUUUGGCAGAUGGUCGGGAGUAAUAACCUUAUGUUGUAUUUGCUUUAAAUGUUUAAUGAAACAUACAGUCCUAUUUGUACAUACUGUACCAACACAUAUUGUAGAAUUAAGGGCUUGAUGCCAAUUUGUACGCAAAAGCCUAUGCAGCUCGGUGUGUGCGCAGUGUGGGCGCAAUUAAUUCGAUAAUCAAUACCGACAUUGCGGACAAAUCAGAAUCAGGCCUAAGAGCUGUCAUACGGUUAUAUCAGGUACGGUAGCUAAUAUACAGCAUCACCCCCAGAUUUCAAUGGAACAUAUGCUGAUCACAUAUGUUGGCCUUGUAUUACCUAUUAGAGUCAUUCCUGACGGGUACAACACACAACCACACAAAGCCUUUAUUCCGCUCUUACACAAUUCUAAUUACAAUUGAAACAAAGUGACAUUUUCAUAAAAUACAGUAAGAAUUGUUAAUUUUUUUUAGCUCUGCAAUAUGAAUAUCUUAUUGCUGCAAUUUCUUUACUAACGCUUACUCAGGCAGCUGAGCGAUUAUAAUGGCCUGAAGCUGACGGGGUUAACUUACCACUGUGUCGGGCCAGUCUCAGCCGACAGGCAGAAGCGCAAACCGGCUUUGCAUUUACUCAUAAGUGGGAUUUCACUUAGACUUGGAGGGAAAAAUAAAUGAAACAGUUAAUAUAUGAAAAUGAAACAGAUAAAAAAAAUAAUAAUA